AUGGAAGUUGCUGCGAAUUGUGUUGUGCGACGGUGUAACGGACUGAGCGAGCUUGUUUGCGGUUACGGCGGAAUGAUUGAGAGAAAUCGCAGAGAACAGAAACUCGGUUUGCUGAAACGCUCGAUGAUGUUGGCUGGAACAGAAGCUCGCGUGAAGGAGGUUGGUGGUUUUCUAUUCUUGUGCAAAAUUGGGACAUCAUAG